GUUUCAGCACUCAUCAUGUGGGAUUUGCAGAAGGCCAAAACAGUUCUGUUUCUGUUGUGUGCAGCUUUGGCUAUAAGUCUGAUUGUUAUUGUCUUUUUGAUUUACAUCAUCAAAACAAUCAAGAGUGGUUGUUCAAACGCUGUUGUUGACCUGCAAAAAAACUGUGGUGGUCACAAAAGUCAACAGAGAGAUAAGGGCACAAGGGUUUAUUCUGCUGUCUUCUUCUGCAUGAUGAAAGCUGACGGUGCAAUAAAGGAUGCAAAAGCAGCAAAGACAGAGAGGGUCUAUGCUGCUGUGAAGGCUUUUGGGUUGGAUUAGUGAGUUAACAGCUGCAGCCUGUCCCAGCUCACAUUGUGCCAGAGGAGAAGAUCACAGUGGGUGGAUCUCCAGUCAAUCACAGGACAAACACAUACAGACAACUACAUACUCACAUAUCUAUUGGAAACUUCUCCAAUUCCCCUAACCUUAAUAUCUUUGAACUGGGAGAGGAAACCCACAUGGAACACAUGCAAGCGAGUCCCAUCUGUCCCAGGACCUUCUUACUGAACGGCAACAGUGCUAAUAUGUCAUUGACAUUUUGAUUUAUUUCAAAUGUAUUUAAUGCACAUUGUUUUAUUAAUGCUCAACAUGUCUUUUAGUCAUAAUCUUUCCAUUUAUCCAGCGUCACUGCUGUCACAGUGAUGCUUACAUAGUCCUGUCAUGCAAAUGUGCAUACUUGACAUUGACAUUGCAGGGUCCCCUGGUAGCAGACCAUGACCUGGUUCACAUCUGUCUAGUAAACUUCGUUACAUGUAAUUCUCAUCUGUCUCCCCUCAU